GCAUGAGUGGAAGCUGGGAUAAUCGUCCGUCCUAAGGGAAAUUAUGACAUUUUAACCAAACCCAGAAGCUUCUUUUUAACCAAACCGACAAGCUUCUUCUUUUUAACCAAACCCACAAGCUUUUCUCCUUCUUAGUAGGUACUAAAAAUACAAUAUAAUCACCUUCUUCACGCGCCACUAUUUGUAAAAAAAAAAUCUAUCAGCAAAUCAAGAAGCUUUAGAAAUAUAUUGUGUAAUUUUCACUCAUAUCAUCUAGCCCAGGCCGUUGCUGCAAUUUUCAGAUCUAUCUCAGAUUGAUUAUUCAGAUUCUCUGAUAUACUUCUCGGUGUUGAUUAUUAUCUUCCAUUUUUUAUCUGAACAAAGAAAAUUCUCAAGCCGGUUCCUAACCCAAGAGUUUUUUCGGGCGGCUAAAUGGGAAAAUAUUGAGUGCUUGGGUAGCAAAAGAUGGAGAUGAAAAUCAGCUUGGAUAGUGGAAGCCCAAGCAGAGGCUGUGUUAUUUGCUGGAAAUCACUGCAUGCAAAUUGUCUCCGGCUUAAUUUAUACCCAAGUUGGAUUUAAGGGAGGGAUUUUUAAACAUCCUGAGAUAAAAUCGAACAUAUACUGCCAAAAAAUAUAGAUUUGCUUGGGCCAAAAAAAGACCUGUUCCCGGAUCAUAUGAUUUUGCAUCCUAAAGAGGAUCGUGUAUGAAUAACCUUCUAAAGAAAGGUAUCCAACAUUGCAGCAGAUUCCAGAGUGCAUUCAUGAAGAUCAUAUUUUCCUGGCAGAAACUAAAGGGAAACAAGGAAAACGGUGUAGGGAGGAGAAUGUGUCUGAGCUAUUGCUUUGCUUGGAAUUUUGAGGAGGGAGACGAGCUCACAUUAGUCCCAGGUGUUGUACAGAGAGCUUAUGAAUAUAGCAUAAUUCAAUUAAUCAAACGGACGCUUAAUUUUGUAAAUUCUGUUUAAUUCUUUUUCAUGUCGUUAAAUCUUCUUCAUGUCCUUUUGUAUUAUAACAUCUUUGUGUUGUUGAAUUGAACUACUUAACUCCUAUCAAGUGACUUGUGGCUGAAAUAACCAAGUAGCUACCUUUGUGUUU